CUACGGGUCGCUCCAGUCGCGGAACUUUUACAAUGCACGCAAGUGUGAUAAAGCAAGCCAAAGUGCUUUUCGUUUAGAAAAGCUUUUUCUCGGCGUAAAAACCCGGGAGAAUAAGGACUGGGAAAGACUGGUGCCAGCCGCCGCGGUAAUACCAGCAGUUCAAGUUGCAUCCCUUUUUAUUGGGUCUAAAACAUCCGUAGCUUGCCGUUUAAGUCUCUUGUGAAAUCCUACGUCUCAAGCGUAGCGAAGUGCAGGAGAUACUGGGUGGCUAGAGAUCGGUAGACGUAAGAAGUACGCGACGGGUAACGGUCAAAUGUGUUAAGCCGUCGUGGACUAACAAUGAGCGAAGGCAUCUUACGAGGACGAAUCUGACAGUGAGGGAUGAAGGCCAGGGGCGCAAAACGGAUUAGAUACCCGUGUAGUC
rnacentral:rRNA from 1 species